UACGGAGGAUCCAAGCGUUAUCCGGAUUUAUUGGGUUUAAAGGGUGCGUAGGCGGGGUAGUAAGUCAGUGGUGAAAUCCUACAGCUCAACUGUAGAACUGCCAUUGAUACUGCUAUUCUUGAGUAUAGUUGAGGUGGGCGGAAUGUGUAAUGUAGCGGUGAAAUGCAUAGAUAUUACACAGAACACCGAUUGCGUAGGCAGCUCACUAGACUACUACUGACGCUGAGGCACGAAAGCGUGGGGAGCGAACAGGAUUAGAUACCCGUGUA
rnacentral:rRNA from 1 species